UACGUAGGGUGCAAGCGUUGUCCAGAAUUAUUGGGCGUAAAGAGCUCGUAGGCGGUCUGUCACGUCGGCUGUGAAAUCCCGAGGCUCAACCUCGGGUCUGCAGUCGAUACGGGCAAACUAGAGUAUUGCAGGGGAGACUGGAAUUCCUGGUGUAGCGGUGAAAUGCGCAGAUAUCAGGAGGAACACCGGUGGCGAAGGCGGGUCUCUGGGCAAUAACUGACGCUGAGGAGCGAAAGCGUGGGGAGCGAACAGG
rnacentral:rRNA from 1 species